UCUGAUUUUGUUUCCACUGAUAUCUCAAUUGAUGAAAAAACAGAACUGAAGGAUAAGGUAAUAGCUAAUGAUGUCAAAGUAGAAUUAGAUGUUAAACCUGAGAUGGUUCAGCUAUUCUCGAGCAGUGAUGUCCUUGAUGAUGCAAAAUCGCAAACUAUGGAUGUUGAAGAAUCACAUGACAAGAAAAUGUCUACAGAAGAACCAGGCAAAAACGAUAAAUAUCCUGAAGUUAGUGUUGUGCAAACCAGUGAUCCUGUCUGUGUGGGUGUAGAGUCUGACACGGCUUUAAGUGGACAAGACUCGCAAAAAGAUGAAACCCAGAAUGAGAGUGAGGAUAUAAAAGAGCAGCUGGAGAAUCACAUUUCAGUUUCUUCUGUGGAUGAGGCAAAAGUCAGUUCAUCCAAUCUGGAAACUCAGGUAUCUGAGCUCAGCCCCGUGUUAGGGUUUCAAGUAAAAUCUGAUUCUGUUUCCGCAGAUGUCUCAAUUGAUAAAAAAACAGAACUGAUGGAUAACGUAAUCGCUGAUGAUGUCAAAAUAGAAUUAGAUGUUAAACCUGAUAAUGUGCAGCUACCAUCAAGCAUUGUUGACCCUGGUGAUGGAAAAUCACAACCUAUGGAUGUUGAAGAGCCAUAUGACGGGAAAGUAUCUGUAGAAGAACCAGGCAAUGAAAACGAUAAGUAUGUUGAUAUAAUGAAGACAGAUGGCAAUGGGGAUUCUGCAGAGAAGUCGCAACUAGACCGAAGUCCUGGUGAUGGAAAAUCACAACCUAUGGAUGUUGAAGAGCCAUAUGACGAGAAUGUAUCUGUAGAAGAACCAGGCAACGAAAACGAUAAAUAUGUUGAUAUAAUGAAGACUGAUGGCGAUGGGGAUUCUGCAGAGAAGUUGCAAUUAGACCGAAGUCCUGGUGAUGAUUCCACUGAGGAGGAUGUUUCAGAGGGUAAAUUAGCUGAUUUUAAGUUGGACUCGG
rnacentral:lncRNA from 1 species